rnacentral:rRNA from 1 species
GACAGAGGUGCCAAGCGUUAGGCGGAAUCACUGGGCUUAAAGCGUGUGUAGGCGGGCGGGCAAGUACCUUGUGAAAUCCCACGGCUCAACCGUGGAACGGCUGGGUAUACUGCCUGUCUUGAGCCAGCUAGGGGCGACCGGAACAGACGGUGGAGCGGUGAAAUGCGUAGAUAUCGUCUGGAACGCCAAAGGUGAAAAACAGGUCGCUGGGGGCUGAGCUGACGCUGAGACACGAAAGCCAGGGGAGCGAACGGG